rnacentral:lncRNA from 1 species
AUUUUUUUUUCGUUACUGCCUUUUCACUUAUGCGUUAAGAGAUUUUUGCUUGCUUUAUCUAAACCUAUUAGGUUACCAAUAAAGAUUGAUAAGUCCAUCUCGAAUCUAUAUAGACUUUGUGAGGCUACGAUUUAUGUAGAGUUAAGCCUGGAGCUCAAACUACCUGACAAGGUCUAGAUGAGUUUAAAGAGAAUUGUUAUUUUUUGAAAGUCUGUGAUACAUGAGAAACUACCUAUUUUUGUUCAAGUAUAGGCACAUGGGGCAUUCUUUUGAUCAUUCUAAGUUCCGUUGUUUGAGCAACACUGUAAUCAAUUUGAUUGUCCAAGUCCCAAAAGAACCAUAGAACGAACAAAAGUAGCUGAUCACCAGCUUCGACGAGGCCAUUCGAAAGCAAGUCAUUGAAGCACUCGAGAAUCAUCAUUCCACCCUUGUCUCUAGAUCGAAUGAUCGAGGCGAAUUUCCUUAAUGUAGAUGCUUAGUUAUCUACAAACUCUAGAACUUCCCUGCCCUUGCAUCGAACUUCUUCUUCUUUCCCUUUCAAUUCCCUUGCUUUUCUUCACACUUCUCACCAGACGAGUUUGCUCUGCCCUUUGUAAGCCUGGCACUUGAAUCUACCAUCUCAACGUUGAUGGGCAACUUGUCAUUUGGAUCAUCCGUGUUGCUGUCUGAGCCAAAAUCAAAAUCGUGCUAUGACAAUUUAGUUGAUGUUAAAGCAUAUUUCGUGGAACCAUAACUAUUACCAAAUAGUUUGCUGUAAGUGUGGUAAAUUUUGUUGAUAUCAUUGUCUUUGAACUUUCCAUACUUCGGGUUCUCCUACAAAUAGGUGCAAAGGAAAUUUCAAAUGCAUCUUUCCAAUAACAUACAUAGUAAAGAGGUCGCAAAAAUAAAAUCAUCUACACCAACAUGCAUAAUCAUUAAGAGCUUCUAGCAACAUCAUUACCCACGAAAUAGGAAAAAACCAUGUUUGUACAAAGUGCUCUAUAAAGUCAAAAUAACCACCAUUACUUUUUUACCCUCCAAUUGUUACAACACGAUGGUUUUAUCUAAUGCAAAUCCAAA